AGAAACGUUCAGCACAGCAGCUUGUGCUGCAGCGAGCGGCUUGGAAAGAGUCCUGUGAGCAGCACAGCAAAGUGCUUGUCUUUCAGGGAGCAGAUGUUAUAUAGAAUAUCACCUUUUGCAGAAAUCAAAUCUAAGCAACUGCAGUCCUUCACUGUAUGAUCAUCUCCAAACGCUUCUUACUGCCGAGCUGCUCCUGCAAGUUCCCCAGAAUUCGGAAUUUUCCCUAUGUCUCUGGAACCAAAGAAAAAAGUUCCAGCAUCUGCUUUUUUGAUGAUACAGAACACCGGAGACCUGAUGAUAGCGCUGUAUUUAUUGAGCAGCCGCCUCAGAGAGGAAAGCCAAGGGAACUAAUGCAAAUGUUAAUGAAACAUUGAAGUUGAGAUUUUAAUUACUUAAAGGUCAGCACAUUCAAAGUUUAUUAGUUUAAGGGAGUCGCUCUGUAUUCCCAGAUCUCUACACUGCUUUUAUAUAUAUCAAGGAGUUGAAGUUACUGUUUAUUUGCUGAUGCCUGCAAAGAAUUCAAGUUGUACCUGAAAGUUUUUCUUCUUAUUACAACCACAGUAUUUUAGUAAUUUGUCGACAAUUUUGCAUA